rnacentral:rRNA from 1 species
GAUGAACGCUGGCGGCGUGCCUAAUACAUGCAAGUCGAGCGAACAGACGAGAAGCUUGCUCCUCUGACGUUAGCGGCGGACGGGUGAGUAACACGUGGAUAACCUACCUAUAAGACUGGGAUAACUUCGGGAAACCGGAGCUAAUACCGGAGAAUAUAUUGAACCGUAUCGUUCAAUAGUGAAAGACGGUUUUGCUGUCACUUAUAGAUGGAUCCGCGGCGCAUUAGCUAGUUGGUAAGGUAAAGGCUUACCAAGGCAACGAUGCGUAGCCGACCUGAGAGGGUGAUCGGCCACAUUGGAACUGAGACACGGUCCAGACUCCUACGGGAGGCAGCAGUAGGGAAUCUUCCGCAAUGGGCGAAAGCCUGACGGAGCAACGCCGCGUGAGUGAUGAAGGUCUUCGGAUCGUAAAACUCUGUUAUUAGGGAAGAACAAAUGUGUAAGUAACUAUGCACGUCUUGACGGUACCUAAUCAGAAAGCCACGGCUAACUACGUG